rnacentral:rRNA from 1 species
GACGAACGCUGGCGGCGUGCUUAACACAUGCAAGUCGAACGGAAAGGCCCUGCUUUUGUGGGGUGCUCGAGUGGCGAACGGGUGAGUAACACGUGAGUAACCUGCCCUUGACUUUGGGGUAACUUCAGGAAACUGGGGCUAAUACCGGAUAGGAGCUCCUGCUGCAUGGUGGUGGUUGGAAAGUUUCGGCGGUGGGGGAUGGACUCGCGGCUUAUCAGCUUGUUGGUGGGGUAGUGGCUUACCAAGGCUUUGAAGGGUAGCCGGCCUGAGAGGGUGACCGGCCACAUUGGGACUGAGAUACGGCCCAGACUCCUACGGGAGGCAGCAGUGGGGAAUAUUGCACAAUGGGCGGAAGCCUGAUGCAGCAACGCCGCGUGAGGGAUGACGGCCUUCGGGUUGUAAACCGCUUUCGCCUGUGACGCAGCGUGAGUGACGGUAAUGGGUAAAGAAGCACGGGCUACCUACUU